AAAGAACCAUGAAGAUCUCAGAAAAAUGAUUGGAUUGGCAGUGGCAGGUGGUGAAGAGCUCGUGUACUCUGUAAGACUAUAUAGGUGCGGUGGAGCAUGUGAUUUGAUUGACUGGCAAUGUACAAACCAGGCAUAGCCGAAGAGCCCUCACUUAAGCUUUUAAAUGGUUAGGAUUAUUUUU
ensembl:ncRNA F52B10.21 ncRNA